GAUGAACGCUGGCGGCGUGCCUAAUACACGCAAGUCGAGCGAACAGACGAGGAGCUUGCUCCUCUGACGUUAGCGGCGGACGGGUGAGUAACACGUGGAUAACCUACCUAUAAGACUGGGAUAACUUCGGGAAACCGGAGCUAAUACCGGAUAAUAUAUUGAACCGCAUGGUUCAAUAGCGAAAGACGGUUUUGCUGUCACUUAUAGAUGGAUCCGCGCCGCAUUAGCUAGUUGGUAAGGUAACGGCUUACCAAGGCAACGAUGCGUAGCCGACCUGAGAGGGUGAUCGGCCACACUGGAACUGAGACACGGUCCAGACUCCUACGGGAGGCAGCAGUAGGGAAUCUUCCGCAAUGGGCGAAAGCCUGACGGAGCAACGCCGCGUGAGUGAUGAAGGUCUUCGGAUCGUAAAACUCUGUUAUUAGGGAAGAACAAAUGUGUAAGUAACUAUGCACGUCUUGACGGUACCUAAUCAGAAAGCCACGGCUAACUACGUG
rnacentral:rRNA from 1 species